rnacentral:rRNA from 1 species
GACGAACGCUGGCGGCGUGCUUAACACAUGCAAGUCGAACGGAAAGGCCCUGCUUUUGUGGGGUGCUCGAGUGGCGAACGGGUGAGUAACACGUGAGUAACCUGCCCUUGACUUUGGGAUAACUUCAGGAAACUGGGGCUAAUACCGGAUAGGAGCUCCUGCUGCAUGGUGGGGGUUGGAAAGUUUCGGCGGUUGGGGAUGGGCUCGCGGCUUAUCAGCUUGUUGGUGGGGUAGUGGCUUACCAAGGCUUUGACGGGUAGCCGGCCUGCGAGGGUGACCGGCCACAUUGGGACUGAGAUACGGCCCGGACUCCUACGGGAGGCAGCAGUGGGGAAUAUUGCACAAUGGGCGGAAGCCUGAUGCAGCAACGCCGCGUGCGGGAUGACGGCCUUCGGGUUGUAAACCGCUUUCGCCUGUGACGAAGCGUGAGUGACGGUAAUGGGUAAAGAAGCACCGGCUAACUACGU